rnacentral:rRNA from 1 species
GAUGAACGCUGGCGGCGUGCCUAAUACAUGCAAGUCGAGCGAACAGACGAGGAGCUUGCUCCUCUGACGUUAGCGGCGGACGGGUGAGUAACACGUGGAUACCCUACCUAUAAGACUGGGAUAACUUCGGGAAACCGGAGCUAAUACCGGAUAAUAUAUUGAACCGCAUGGUUCAAUAGUGAAAGACGGUUUUGCUGUCGGUUGUGGAUGGAUCCGCGCCGCAUUAGCUAGUUGGUGGGGUAGUGGCUUACCAAGGCAUUGACGGGUAGCCGGCCUGAGAGGGUGAAAGGCUAAAUUGGGACGGAGAUACGGCACAGAAUCCUACGGGAGGCAGCAGUGGGGAAUAUUGAACAAUGGGCGGAAGCAUGAUGCAGCAAAGAAGCGUGCGGGAUGAAGGCCUUCGGGUUGUAAACCGCUUUCGACUGUGACGAAGCGUGAGUGACGGUAAUGGGUAAAGAAGCACCGGCUAACUAAGUG